rnacentral:lncRNA from 7 species
UGGCUUGCUGCAGAGGAGCACAGAGGAGAAGGUGCUUGUAGAAGGCUUGUGCGCAACUUGUCAGAAUUUAUUGUCCUCGAUGGAAAACAUUUUGGAAAGCAUGAAAGUGAUGUACUGCUCAACUACUGUAUGGCUUCCACUUGCCACGCUCACUGCAUUCUGUGACAGCAAAGGAGAAGCAAACUGCGAUCUGCUGAUGCUACUAUACCUGACCUUUAGCUUGGAAAGUUUCUCAAAUUUUAAUGUCUUUGGAAUAUCGCAUGGAUUGAGGUUUAGUGUUUUAGUAGAUAUUUUUCUGAACCAUUUUGUGCUAGACCAUAAUUAUAGAUCGGUAUUGGUCUGGACUCUAUAGUGAUGAGGAUAAGAGUGUCCCUUUUCUAAUAUCUUUUGAAACACCUCUUGCUAUGGAUUGUCUUGAAAUCAGGAUGUAGAGAGGCCGGAAGAAAAUAACUUAAAAAAUGUCGUUCUAAAUAUUAGCAAAGCAAUUACUGAAGUACAGAAGAAGAGUUGUGGCUAACACCCCGUAACUCAACAGUUGAAAAAGAGGUAACAGGUCAGACUUGGUAGCUUGGUAGCUAGUAGUAAUGCGAAAGGCAGUCAAACACAGUUAUUUGAGAGACCUUUAUUUCUGGAGAGUGUUGAAGUAUUCUCGCUUUUAGCCAGCAAGAUGUGAUACUCUACAACAUUAUUUUUUACCAGUGCUGUAUUUAUCCCAUAGUGGCUUUAACAAGCUGACCAGACAAUGUGAAAUAAACAAAUGAAUGCUGGGGAAAUGCAUUUUGCAGAAAAUCUCGCUGAGCGUCACUUCGCUAUUCUGCAAAAAAAGAGAAUAAUUCAGAACCAUAUGGGAGUCUGAUAAAACUGAGUGUCAAGAAUCCUCUCACAUCCAUUCCAGAUGGUUGAGACUUUCCUUGGAACUGGAUGUCUUAUGUAAAAUUAGCUCCCUGUUUAUUCUCAGCUAAUAAGAGUCACAAAGGUGAAGGGAAGACUAAUCUAGCAGAAAGGACAUGAGAACAGCAAGAUGUCUUUCUUGUAAAAUAAUUAAUAGUGAAAGAUACAAUUCUGGUGCAUGAGCAGAAGGAGAUGACUACAAAUAAACAGUCUGAUUUACUAUAUGUAUCGAAACAAUACGAAAAAUCAUAUUUUCCAAUAAGAAAAAACUGAAGCUGUUAAUGAAUGAUGUGCUCUGCAAAAUAGUUUUGAGAGGAACAGAUUCUCUUUCAGUGUACUGAUAUCUUUCAACUUUAGGAAAUACUCAAGGAAUACUAACCUUGAGGUAAACAUUAAUACUCCCCUAGUAUGUGUACUGUAUGUUUGGGUCUUUAUUCUGCAUGUAUGAUUAAUAUUCUGUAAAUACAUUAUGCUGAAUAGAUUCCUCUUGAAUACAUAGAGACAGGUGCACAGCUGGCAGAGAAUGCUCUACAUAUUAUAGAGCAUAUUCCUAUAAAACAACCAUGAUGCUAUCAGAUUUUAUUUGCUCACCAGUGUUUUUGUCAUGAUGUCUUGAUUGAGUAUCCUGUGCAGUCUGUCAGGAUUUUGCCAUUGACUUCAAUGAGUACGUGAAAAGUGUGCACCCUCUUUUGUGUGUGCAAGUUCACACUUACUAUAGUUACUGCCUUAAAACAAUGAUUCCUGAGAUAUUCUUUAACAAUAACAACCUAACAGCAUAGUUGCCAUGGACAACUCUUACAGUUGUUAUCAGCUGUUUAUCUAGUGCACAAACAUUAUUUUUUGUGAGUCAUUGUUCUAGGCCUGAAGAUGUUAUAAAGAGUUGGCAAAAACAUGUUGCUAUUAAUACACGAAACCUGCUCUGUCAAUUACUUGAAAACACUUUGCAGUGAUUGCUUUGUUCUUGUUGCUUGACUUUAAAAGAUCUUUAAUUCUAAAGAGAAUACUGGAGGCUUGGGAUUUAAAGUAGAUCUGAUGGCACUUGUUCCCCAAUUCAUUUAAAAAAUCAUGAUAUGGCUUUUUUUGUACAGCUAAUUUUGAAUGCACAAUCAGAUUUAUUACCUGACAUUUUUACUAUUGUGGGAUUAUUAAACUGAAGAUUAUUUG